rnacentral:rRNA from 1 species
AACGAACGCUGGCGGCAGGCCUAACACAUGCAAGUCGAGCGAGGACUUCGGUUCUAGCGGCGGACGGGUGAGUAACGCGUGGGAAUGUGCCCUUCUCUACGGAAUAGCCCUGGGAAACUGGGAGUAAUACCGUAUACGCACUAUGGGGGAAAGAUUUAUCGGAGAAGGAUCAGCCCGCGUUGGAUUAGGUAGUUGGUGGGGUAAUGGCCUACCAAGCCGACGAUCCAUAGCUGGUUUGAGAGGAUGAUCAGCCACACUGGGACUGAGACACGGCCCAGACUCCUACGGGAGGCAGCAGUGGGGAAUCUUAGACAAUGGGGGCAACCCUGAUAUAGCCAUGCCGCGUGAGUGAUGAAGGCCUUAGGGUUGUAAAGCUCUUUCAGCUGGGAAGAUAAUGACGGUACCAGCAGAAGAAGCCCCGGCUAACUCCGUG